AAUGAUUUAUUUAAUGGCCGCGGUAUUUUGACCGUGCAAAGGUAGCAUAAUCAUUAGCUCAUUAAUUGUGGGAUGGUAUGAAUGGUUGGACGAGAUAUUAGCUGUCUUCAUAUUUAUUUAUAAAAUUUAAUUUUUAGGUUAAAAAGCCUAAAUUUUUUUAAAGGACGAGAAGACCCUAUAGAUCUUUAUUAUUGAAGUAUUAUAUGUUUUUGGUUUAUUUUUUUUAUAUUAUUUUUAUUUUUUUGUUGGGGUGACAUUUAGAUAUAACUAACUCUUUAUUUUUUUUUUCAUUGAUUUAUGUUUAUAUGAUUUUUUAUUAUUUUUAUAANAUAANAUACCUUAGGGAUAACAGCGUAAUUCUUUUUGAGAGUUCAUAUUGACAUAGGANAUUGCGACCUCGAUGUUGAAUUAANAUUAUAUUUGGGUGUAGUUGCUUUAUAUUGUAGGUCUGUUCGACCUUUAAUUUCUUACAUGAUCUGAGU
rnacentral:rRNA from 1 species